rnacentral:rRNA from 1 species
UACGGGGGGUGCGAGCGUUGUCCGGAAUCACUGGGCGUAAAGGGCGCGUAGGUGGCGUGAUAAGGGUGUGGUGAAAGCCCGGGGCUCAACCCCGGGUCUGCCAUGCCGACUGUCAGGCUGGAGUACUGUAGGGGCAGGCGGAAUUCCGGGUGUAGCGGUGGAAUGCGUAGAGAUCCGGAGGAAGACCGGUGGCGAAGGCGGCCUGCUGGGACGUUACUGACACUGAGGCGCGAAAGCGUGGGGAGCGAACAGG